CCUACGGGCGGCAGCAGUGGGGAAUAUUGGACAAUGGGCGAAAGCCUGAUCCAGCCAUGCCGCGUGUGUGAAGAAGGCCUUCGGGUUGUAAAGCACUUUCAGUGGGGAAGAAAGCCUUGGGGCUAAUACCCUCGAGGAAGGACAUCACCCACAGAAGAAGCACCGGCUAACUCCGUGCCAGCAGCCGCGGUAAUACGGAGGGUGCGAGCGUUAAUCGGAAUUACUGGGCGUAAAGCGCGCGUAGGCGGUCUGAUAAGCCGGUUGUGAAAGCCCCGGGCUCAACCUGGGAACGGCAUCCGGAACCGUCAGGCUAGAGUGCAGGAGAGGAAGGUAGAAUUCCCGGUGUAGCGGUGAAAUGCGUAGAGAUCGGGAGGAAUACCAGUGGCGAAGGCGGCCUUCUGGACUGACACUGACGCUGAGGUGCGAAAGCGUGGGUAGCAAACAGGAUUAGAUACCCCUGUAGUC
rnacentral:rRNA from 1 species